CCGGAAGUUUGGGUUGGGAGCCAGGCUUCGACAGCCAUCUUGAGCCCCAGCGAGUAAGGCAGGGCGGGCCUGAGGGCUGCCGGCCUUCCGCCCAGCGUGGGUGGGGGCACGGUCUGAUGGCCUGGCCCGGCACCUGCGGGGACCCGGAGGAAGGGAGGAGAGGGGCCUCACCUGUGGGGUCUCCACCCCCAGCGCCCUCCAGGGUCCUGGUGCCGCCUGGGGCGGGGGAAGGGUGGUCCGGGCUGUCUCUGGGGCCGCUGCCAGCAGAGGCUGCUCUUCCGUGGCCUGGGCUGGGAGUUGGGGGCCGGGGCUGCUUUUCUAAAGUCCUCUCCUCUUCCCCCCUCCGGAUAGGUGGGGGCAGCAAGGGACGAGGUCACCCCCCGGAGAGGCUUCCGGAGGGGCUCCAGACCUGCGGCCCCCAGGUCUCUCCUGGCCCAGUGGUGGUGCCAACGGCCCAGCGGCUGCAGCACCUAUGCCCAGACCCUCAGCGUGGGGCCCCCGCAGGCCCCCGCACCCGCACACCUGUCAUGCACGGAAGCCUCACACACUUUAUUUCACCAGCAGUCCUUUGUGUCUGCGAUAGAAAGGCCACCUUGGGGUCCCGGGGCGCCCCGGGUCAGGGCCACGGGGGCUGGGAGGUCAUGGGGUGGCCUGUGCCCUGGGGGCCCACGAGGGCCUGGGCCUGGGCAAGAGUGCACUGUCGGUUCAGGGCCACUGCUGGGUCCGAUGGGCCCCUGGCCUCCCCUCCACGCGGCAUCUGGCGAGGGGCCCUCCUCGGGCGGCAGUCGGGCCAGGAAUGGGGUAUUUUCUAAUGUACCAUUCCUAGUGUCAUCUCUUUAAUUAUGUUUUUAAAUUAUUUUCUUAGUUGCUGCCCUCAGGAUUACCGUUAAUAUCUUAAGUUGUAACAAUCUCUUUCAGAUUAAUACCAAGUUUUUGUUUUUGUUUUUUUUCUUUUUUUGUCUUUUUAGGGCUGCACCCCCGCAGCACUUGGAGGUUCCCAGGCUAGGGGUCAAAUCGGAGCUGCAGCUGCCGGCCUACACCACAGCCACAGCAACACCGGAUCCGAGCCGCAUCUUCGACCUCCACCACAGCUGUCGGCAACGCCGGAUCCUUAACCCACUGAGUGAAGCCAGGGGUCGAACCCACAACCCCAUGGUUCCUAGUUGGAUUCGUUUCCACUGCACCAGGACGGGCAAUCCAGAUGACAAUUUUUUUUCAGCAUUUUGAAUGUGUCAUCCCACUGCCUUCUGGACUCCGUGGUUUUGGAUGUGAUACUGGCUGUUGACCUCACCCAGGGUCCUUUACGACGAGUGGCUUCUGUUCGCUGCUUCCGACACUGGCUCCUGGUCUUUGUCUUUUGAAAGGUUAUGCUGUGGUGGAUCUUUUCCAUUUACCCUAGUUGGAGCUCACUGACCUUCUUGAAUGUGUAGAUUAUUUCUCAUCAAAUUUGGGGAGUUAUCUGCCGUUAUCUUCUCAAAAACUCUUCUCACCUCUGUCCCUCCUUUCUUUCUGGAUUCUCCUUCUGCUGGUCUGCUCCACGGUGCCCACAGUCUCUGCAGCUUGAUUUUCCGCCAUUCCUUUUACUUUCUUUUUCUUUUCAUCUUUUUAGGGCCACACUCACGGCAUAUGGAGGUUCCCAGGUUAGGGGUCCAAUUGGAGCUAAAGCUGACGGCCUACAACCACAGCCCACAGCAACACUGGAUCCUUAGCCCACUGAGCAAGGCCAGAGAUCGAACCUGCGUCCUCAUGGGUCUAGUCAGAUUCACUUCUACUGAGCCAUGACAGGGACUCCACUCCUUUUACUUUCUGUUCCUUAGACUGGAUAAUCUCAACUGCCUUAUCUUUCAAUAACUCACAUGUCCUGUUGUGCCUCUCUAGCGAUUUUUUAUUUCAGUUAUUGUAUGUUUCAACUCCAGAAUCUCUCUUUGGCUUCAUUUUAUAAUUUCUAUCUCUUUACUGAUAUCCCAUCUUUGGUAAGACGUGGUUCUUCUAUUUUCCUUCAGUUCUUUUCAAGUGAGGUCUUCCAAGGAACCACAGGACACAUCACCACAAAGGGCCACGAUUCUUGCCAGACAGGGACAUCCUGCUGUCUCCAGCCCUGAGCAUGCAGGCUUGGAAGUGAGGACAAAAGUAGGGCAAGUUAAACUGCUACAAAGCUUGCUGCUGUUACCAAGAGUCAAGAUUUGGCUUGAAGACACCCUCUUCGGGCCACUGAACAUCAGAGUUCCGAGAAGGUUGAUGCUGAGAGGCUGGGCCAGAAACGGAUGCAGGAGAUCAUGGCCCACUGCUUCCUGGCUGUCAAAUCCAAGCUCGAGUGCAAGCUAGGCUACUUCGACCUCAUUGGCUGCGACUUCCUGAUCGAUGAAAACUUUAAGGUGCUGCUGAGGUGUCCCUCGGGGGUGGGGCCUGGCAGGCAGGUACAAGGAGCAGGGGCCCUCAGCGUGCACCCUGACCACCGAGGCGGGCACCCAGCGUGGGCAGUCAGGUGCCCUCCCUAGCCCUGGGGGUGGUGUGCAUAAGGUUUUGCUCCUCCUGCACCUGGGAAGCCCCGAAGGCCUGACCCUCAGACCCCCAGAGUCUAAGCCCCUUAGGCAAAUGGGGGACCGAGGCCAUGAAAGGGAAGCAACCUGCCCAUGUCACUUGUCUUAAUGGGGACCAGGGCCUUGGCCUCCCGCUGGCCAAGUGAUAAGCCGGGAGGGGUGCUAACCAGCGCUGGGUCCAGGUGUGGCUGCUGGAGAUGAACUCCAACCCUGCCCUGCACACCAACUGCCAAGUCUUGAAGGAGGUGAUUCCUGGCGUGGUCAUGGAGACCCUGGCCCCGGCCCGAUGCCCCCUGCUCACCUCCAGACCUGGCGCUUGAGACCUUCCGGAAGAGCCUGCGCAGCGAGAAGAUGCUGCCGCUGCUGACCCAGCGGCGCUUCGUGCUCCUGCACAACGGCGAGGCGGACCUGUGGCCGCGCCCCGGGGGCUCCCGCAGCGUCCCCCGCCCGCCCGCCCGCGACUCCACGGCCUCCGCGCCACCCCCGC
rnacentral:lncRNA from 1 species